rnacentral:rRNA from 1 species
UACGGGGGGGGCAAGCGUUGUUCGGAAUUACUGGGCGUAAAGGGCUCGUAGGCGGCCAACUAAGUCAGACGUGAAAUCCCUCGGCUUAACCGGGGAACUGCGUCUGAUACUGGAUGGCUUGAGUUUGGGAGAGGGAUGCGGAAUUCCAGGUGUAGCGGUGAAAUGCGUAGAUAUCUGGAGGAACACCGGUGGCGAAGGCGGCAUCCUGGGCCAGCACUGACGCUCAUGCACGAAAGCGUGGGGAGCAAACAGG